AGUGAACGCUGGCGGUAGGCCUAACACAUGCAAGUCGAACGGCAGCACAGUAAGAGCUUGCUCUUGCGGGUGGCGAGUGGCGGACGGGUGAGGAAUACAUCGGAAUCUACUUUUUCGUGGGGGAUAACGUAGGGAAACUUACGCUAAUACCGCAUACGACCUACGGGUGAAAGCAGGGGAUCUUCGGACCUUGCGCGAUUGAAUGAGCCGAUGUCGGAUUAGCUAGUUGGCGGGGUAAAGGCCCACCAAGGCGACGAUCCGUAGCUGGUCUGAGAGGAUGAUCAGCCACACUGGAACUGAGACACGGUCCAGACCCCUACGGGAGGCAGCAGUGGGGAAUAUUGGACAAUGGGCGCAAGCCUGAUCCAGCCAUACCGCGUGGGUGAAGAAGGCCUUCGGGUUGUAAAGCCCUUUUGUUGGGAAAGAAAAGCAGCAGGUUAAUACCCCGCUGUUCUGACGGUACCCAAAGAAUAAGCACCGGCUAACUUCGUG
rnacentral:rRNA from 1 species